rnacentral:lncRNA from 1 species
ACCCAAAAAAAGGUUGUCGUUCGGACGAUCUGUUAUUCCGCCAAAGACACCAGAAAACAUCUUCUUGUUUUACAACAACACACGGGGAGCACGAAGAGACGACGCCAACGCGACGACAGACGCACACGACAAGCGCGGCCACGCACGCACAGGCAUGGCCACGGAUGCCAACCACACAAACGACCGCCGCCGGAAAGCCUACAGCAGCGGACGACUAAGAAAAACAACAUGGGACACACUAAGUUGACGAAUUUGCCUACUUGUACUUGAUGGCAGCUCUAGCGAUGGCACUGCAGUAAGCCUUCGUCUCUGUGCCCAAAUGAUCUCUCUUCCCGUCUAAAAGACUGACGACUAACGAUUAGAUAGGUUGACGGAGACUUUGGGGCGAGUACCGUCUCCUCCUCCUGGUUCCUGCUCCCAUUCCUAUGGUAGCGUCCUCUCAGCUCUGCGAGCGGCGGCGGCUAGAACUUCUUGUUGUACCAGAAGACGCCCUUGCGGUCCUCGGGCUCGACGUAGAUGCACUCCCUGGCCUCGCGCCAG